GCUUAACACAUGCAAGUCGAGGGGCAGCGGGGAGGAAGCUUGCUUUCUCCGCCGGCGACCGGCGCACGGGUGAGUAACACGUAUGCAACCUGCCCCUGUCAGGGGGACAACCCGCCGAAAGGCGGGCUAAACCCGCGUACAUGCCACCGGGGCAUCCCGGAGGCAGGAAAGGCUUCGGCCGGACAGGGAUGGGCAUGCGGCGCAUUAGGCAGUAGGCGGGGUAACGGCCCACCUAACCGACGAUGCGUAGGGGUUCUGAGAGGAAGGUCCCCCACACUGGUACUGAGACACGGACCAGACUCCUACGGGAGGCAGCAGUGAGGAAUAUUGGUCAAUGGUCGGGAGACUGAACCAGCCAAGCCGCGUGAGGGAUGAAGGUACAGAGUAUCGUAAACCUCUUUUGUCAGGGAACAAAGGCGGGGACGUGUCCCCGGAUGAGUGUACCUGAAGAAAAAGCAUCGGCUAACUCCGUGCCAGCAGCCGCGGUAAUACGGAGGAUGCGAGCGUUAUCCGGAUUUAUUGGGUUUAAAGGGUGCGCAGGCGGUCUGUUAAGUCAGCGGUCAAAGCCCGGGGCUCAACCCCGGCCCGCCGUUGAAACUGGCAGUCUCGAGUUGGAGAGAAGUCUGCGGAAUGCGCGGUGUAGCGGUGAAAUGCAUAGAUAUCGCGCAGAACUCCGAUUGCGAAGGCAGCAUGCCGGCUCCACACUGACGCUGAGGCACGAAAGCGUGGGUAUCGAACAGGAUUAGAUACCCUGGUAGUCCACGCAGUAAACGAUGAAUGCUGGCUGUCCGGGGGGGAUUGACCCCUGGGUGGCGAAGCGAAAGCGAUAAGCAUUCAACCUGGGGAGUACGCCGGCAACGGUGAAACUCAAAGGAAUUGACGGGGGCCCGCACAAGCGGAGGAACAUGUGGUUUAAUUCGAUGAUACGCGAGGAACCUUACCCGGGCUCAAACGGGGAGUGACUCAGGCAGAGACGCCUGUUUCCCACGGGACACUCCCCGAGGUGCUGCAUGGUUGUCGUCAGCUCGUGCCGUGAGGUGUCGGCUUAAGUGCCAUAACGAGCGCAACCCCCGCGUGCAGUUGCUAACAGAUAACGCUGAGGACUCUGCACGGACUGCCGGCGCAAGCCGCGAGGAAGGCGGGGAUGACGUCAAAUCAGCACGGCCCUUACGUCCGGGGCGACACACGCGUUACAAUGGGUGGUACAGCGGGAAGCCAGGCGGCGACGCCGAGCGGAACCCGAAAUCCACUCUCAGUUCGGAUCGGAGUCUGCAACCCGACUCCGUGAAGCUGGAUUCGCUAGUAAUCGCGCAUCAGCCAUGGCGCGGUGAAUACGUUCCCGGGCCUUGUACACACCGCCCGUCAAGCCAUGGGAGCCGAGGGCGCUUGAAGU
rnacentral:rRNA from 1 species